rnacentral:rRNA from 1 species
UACGUAGGGCGCAAGCGUUGUCCGGAAUUAUUGGGCGUAAAGAGCUCGUAGGCGGCUUGUCACGUCGGGUGUGAAAGCCCGGGGCUUAACCCCGGGUCUGCAUUCGAUACGGGCAGGCUAGAGUUCGGUAGGGGAGAUCGGAAUUCCUGGUGUAGCGGUGAAAUGCGCAGAUACCAGGAGGAACACCAGUGGCGAAGGCGGCUCACUGGCCCGGUACUGACGCUGAGGUGCGAAAGCGUGGGGAGCAAACAGG